AAAGCUUGAUCCUGGCUCAGAAGGAAUGCUAUCUAUAUGUUUAACAUAUGCAAGUAGAAUGUUGUUUUCGAGGAGUUGGGCAAAAGAAAAAGCGGCUCCUAGCUAAAAGUAGCUUCUCUUGCCUAAGAGGUGAAAAGAGUUGAGAACAAAGUGGCGAACGGGUACAUAAAGCGUGGGAAUCUGUUGAACAGUUCGAGCCAAAUCCUAAGGAAAGCUAAAAAGCGCUGUUUGAUGAGCCUGAGUAGUAUUAGGUAGUUGGUCAGGUAAAGACUGAUCGAACCAAUGAUGCUUAGCUGGUUUUUUCAGAAAAUCAGCCACACUGGGACUAAGAUACGGCCCAAACUCCAGGAGUGCAGCAGUGGGGAAUCUUGGACGAUGGGUGAAAGUUUGAUCCAACAAUAUUACAUGAGUGAAGAAGGGUAAUGCCCACUUGUAAAACUCUUUCAUCGAGUGUGUGAUCAUGACAAGACUGAAAAAGAAGCCUCGACUAACUCCGUGCCAGCAGUUGCAAUAAGACGAGGGGGCAAAUGUUCUUUGGAAUGACCGGGCGUAAAAGGCACACACCAAAAACUGGCAGAAUCUCACGAAACCAAUUUACUUGAGUGAGAUAGAGGAUAGUGGAAUUUCGUGUGUAGGGGUGAAAUUCGAAGAUCUAUGAAGGAACACCAAAAGAAAAGGUAACUCUUUGGAUCCCUAUCGAUGCUGGGGUGGAAAAGCAUCGAGAGCGAACAAGAUUAGAUACCCUGGUAGUCCAUGCCAUAAACGACAAGUGUUCACCCUUGGUCUACAUGAAUCAGGGGCCCAGCUAACACGUAAAACACUCUGCCUGGGAAUACAAUCACAAGACCAAAACUCAAACAAAUUGAUAGGGGCUUGCACAAGCGGUGGAGCAUGUGGUUUAAUUCAAUACAACGCGCAAAACCUUGCCAGCCCUUGACAUAUGAACAACAAAACAUUUCUUUAACAGGAUGGUACUUACUUCCAUAUAGGUAUUGCAUGGCUAUCAUAAGCUCAUGUCAUGAGAUGUUCGAUCAAGUCCUACAACAAGCAAAACCCUCAUUUUGUGUUGCUAAGACAUGCACCUAACGAGAAAGUCUUUGCAACCAAAGUGAGCUAAAGAGCUGAGUGAAGUGCUAGUGUUACUAAUUGAGUGCUAGCAUAUUGCUGUGCUGCCAAUAUUAAGGUAGCCAGUGUUUUUCGAAGCACUUUCUAGUUAGCGCUUUAGUUUGAUUGCAGCUAGCGCGCUUGACUAAUAAGAUAGAAAGGGCUUUUCUCGCUUGUUUAGUAAAGUCAAGGUUUGGACCAACUCUUGCAAGUGACAACUAUGCCAAGUUGACAGCAGAGAAAGACUCGGCAUUCAGGAGAUCUGGCCAGUGGUAUGGUACAUAGUGGGUUUAGUAGACCCCACCAAAACAGCUCCAAAGGAAAAAAAAAGGUAUAAAUCGCACUCACGAAGGACUGCCAGUGAUAUACUGGAGGAAGGUGGGGAUGACGUCAAGUCCGCAUGGCCCUUAUGGGCUGGGCCACACACAUGCUACAAUAGCAAUUACAAUGGGAAGCAAGGCUAUAAGGCAAAGCGAAUCUGGAAAGAUUGCAUUAAUUAGGAUUGUUCUUUGCAACUCAGAAGCAUGAAGUUGGAAUCGCUAAUAAUCGUAGAUUAGCAUGUCGUGGUGAAAAUGUACACAGGCCCUGUACAUAUCACCAGUCACAGCCUGGGAAUUAGUUUCACCCGAAGCAUCAGACCAAUAAUCACCCAUGACUUUUGUGUCACACUAGUGCCACAAAGGCUUUUGGUGGGCUUAAUGGUGCAUACCACGGUGGGAUCUUCGACUGGGGUGAAGUCGUAACAAGACAGUCGUAGGGGAACCUAUGGUUG
rnacentral:ncRNA from 1 species